rnacentral:rRNA from 1 species
UGAUUGUGACGUGCUUGCACUGAAUGAGAUUUUAACACGAAGUGAGUGGCGGACGGGUGAGUAACACGUGGGUAACCUGCCCAGAAGCAGGGGAUAACACCUGGAAACAGAUGCUAAUACCGUAUAACAGAGAAAACCGCCUGGUUUUCUUUUAAAAGAUGGCUCUGCUAUCACUUCUGGAUGGACCCGCGGCGCAUUAGCUAGUUGGUGAGGUAACGGCUCACCAAGGCGAUGAUGCGUAGCCGACCUGAGAGGGUAAUCGGCCACAUUGGGACUGAGACACCGCCCAGACUCCUACGGGAGGCAGCAGUAGGGAAUCUUCCACAAUGGACGCAAGUCUGAUGGAGCAACGCCGCGUGAGUGAAGAAGGGUUUCGGCUCGUAAAGCUCUGUUGUUAAAGAAGAACGUGGGUGAGAGUAACUGUUCACCCAGUGACGGUAUUUAACCAGAAAGCCACGGCUAACUACGUGCCAGCAGCCGCGGUAAUACGUAGGUGGCAAGCGUUAUCCGGAUUUAUUGGGCGUAAAGCGAGCGCAGGCGGUCUUUUAAGUCUAAUGUGAAAGCCUUCGGCUCCACCGAAGAAGUGCAUUGGAAACUGGGAGACUUGAGUGCAGAAGAGGACAGUGGAACUCCCUGUGUGGCGGUGAAUG